GGGUGAGUAAUGCUUAGGAAUCUGCCUAUUAGUGGGGGACAACAUUCCGAAAGGAAUGCUAAUACCGCAUACGUCCUACGGGGGAAAGCAGGGGAUCUUCGGACCUUGCGCUAAUAGAUGAGCCUAAGUCGGAUUAGCUAGUUGGUGGGGUAAAGGCCUACCAAGGCGACGAUCUGUAGCGGGUCUGAGAGGAUGAUCCGCCACACUGGGACUGAGACACGGCCCAGACUCCUACGGGAGGCAGCAGUGGGGAAUAUUGGACAAUGGGCGGAAGCCUGAUCCAGCCAUGCCGCGUGUGUGAAGAAGGCCUUUUGGUUGUAAAGCACUUUAAGCGAGGAGGAGGCUCCUUUAGUUAAUACCUAAAGUGAGUGGACGUUACUCGCAGAAUAAGCACCGGCUAACUCUGUGCCAGCAGCCGCGGUAAUACAGAGGGUGCGAGCGUUAAUCGGAUUUACUGGGCGUAAAGCGUGCGUAGGCGGCUUUUUAAGUCGGAUGUGAAAUCCCUGAGCUUAACUUAGGAAUUGCAUUCGAUACUGGAAAGCUAGAGUAUGGGAGAGGAUGGUAGAAUUCCAGGUGUAGCGGUGAAAUGCGUAGAGAUCUGGAGGAAUACCGAUGGCGAAGGCAGCCAUCUGGCCUAAUACUGACGCUGAGGUACGAAAGCAUGGGGAGCAAACAGGAUUAGAUACCCUGGUAGUCCAUGCCGUAAACGAUGUCUACUAGCCGUUGGGGCCUUUGAGGCUUUAGUGGCGCAGCUAACGCGAUAAGUAGACCGCCUGGGGAGUACGGUCGCAAGACUAAAACUCAAAUGAAUUGACGGGGGCCCGCACAAGCGGUGGAGCAUGUGGUUUAAU
rnacentral:rRNA from 1 species